UGUAUAUUUCAGGCAUAAUUUUGCAGUAAGGCUGGCACUAGAAUAGGGGACCAUUUGCUUAUAUUCAAUCAAAACUACUCCAUCUAGAACAGAGAUAUUCUGUGACCCAUUAGACUUCUAACAGGAUUAUUCUAAGAAAUUUGGAGAAUUCCAUACAUAAUCAUCUAGAAGUCUGUGAUUAAUGUGAAAGCAAAAGAACAUCUUCUGUCAAAUAAAGGGAAUACAGAAUUUUCAUUUAUUAAGAAUGAACUCACUCUACGAUCCUAUUUCAUGUUUCUGAAGACACAACUCUCAAAGAAACAAUUGAGGGCAUUAGACAUGCAAUUUCAAACUGUCCAGUGAGCAAUGUGUGUGGCUGCUGUUUAUGCUCAUUAUUCACAAAACCUUCUUUGUGAAUGUGUCCUUUAAUUUGGGGAAGGAUCCAAGCAGCAUGAUGAUUCUAGAAUCAUCACCAUUUAAUAUGAAUUAAGAGGCUUUCAAAGGAAGACACUGCUUGAUAGGACCAUCCAUAUGAAACAGUUAAUCAUAUAUAGCC
rnacentral:lncRNA from 1 species